rnacentral:tRNA from 1 species
AGUGCUUACAUGUGGUGGAUAACACGAAGCUAACAACUUUGUGUAUAUCAGUGGGUUCGAUUCCCACAAGCACAUUA